GUUAAAGUUUAGGAUCCUAGAUUAGCGCGUCCCAUCUUUUUUACUCCAGUCUAUGCUUCAUGUGCUGCUGCUACCAGGAGGGACUUGUGGGCGGGUCUUCACCACAUUUCCCUCGAUAUGGACGCCCCUUGGAUAGGUGGGGGAGACUUUAAUGUUAUUACACAUGAUGGUGAGUGUACUGGUCAUAAUACCCGCGAUCGAGGCACUACUCUUUCUCUGAUAUGAUGUUAGACUGUGGAUUGGAAGAUGUUGGUUUCCUUGGGAAUCGAUACACUUGGACCAAUGGUCGGGUCAAGAAGAGAUUGGAUAGGAUACUCAUUAAUCCUACAGCUGCAGCGUUCUGUCGACAGCUUACAGUGAGGCACUUGAGUCAGACUUCAUCUGAUCACUCACCUUUAUUACUUCAGUGGACUUCUGAUGAUGAUUUGGGGCCUAGACCUUUCAUAUUUCUCAACGUUUGGACCAAGCAUCAUGAUUUUUCAGCAUUUGUCUCUCAGAAGUGAUCACUCCCUACUCAUCUUAAGGGGAUGGCUGCUCUUUAGGAGAAGUUCUUCAGGCUGAAAUAGGGACUGCGCUAGUGGAAUCGACAUGUAUUUGGUGACAUUUUCCAACGAGUGGGGGAUGCUAAGGAUAGGGUUGAUGAGGCAGAGAUUGUAUUUGAUAGAGACCCCACACCAGAGCACCGUGACAUACUACAUCAGGCUCAGGCAGUUUUGAGCCGGACUUUAUCUACUGAGGAGGGCUUUUGGAAGAAAAAGGUCGGUUCACGUUGGGUAUGUGAGGGUGAUCACAAUACUCUAUAUUUUCAUGCGAUGGUUCAGGGGCGCAGGAUUAAAUCGCGUAUCAGGUCUAUCAGGACACAAGCGGGGGAAGUUUUAUCUACUUCGACUGAUAUUCAGACUUCGGCUAUUGUAUUAUACCAGGAUCUCUUGUCUGCUCCUCCACAGCCCUUGGAUCACAUCUGUUCCGAUGUCAUUCCCAGGCUUUUGACGAUGGACGAUAAUUUGGCACUAAACCGUCCCCUUGAUGCAUGAGGUACGGGAGGCAGUUUUCAGUAUUGAUUCUGACAGUGUCGCUGGCCCAGAUGGCUUCUCAUCUCUAUUCUUCUAGUAUUGUUGGGAUAUUAUUUAGGAGGAUUUUUACAGGGCAGUAUUGGAUUUCUUUGACGGGGGUCAUCUUCCACGGGGUUUUGCUGCUACUUCUAUUGUCCUACUUCCUAAAAAGGAUGGUACUUGCAGAUGGACUGACUUCAGACCUAUCAGCUUAUGCACGGUGUUCAAUAAGAUUAUUACAAAGCUUUUGAACACUCGAUUAAGUACUUUGCUACCGCGCAUUAUCUCCCCUUCACAGAGUAGUUUCAUACCAGGUCGUCUGAUUGGAGAUAAUGUAUUACUGGCUCAGGAGCUUCUUUACACUUUGGAUGAUAGAGUGCAAGGGGGUAACACUAUGCUGAAGUUAGACAUGGCUAAAGCAUAUGAUCACAUGGACUGGGGUUUCAUUUAUUCUGUAUUGGAGGCUUUUGGAUUUGAUCAAAUCUGGAUUGACAGGAUUAGACAAUGCAUUUCGGAGUGCCAUUUCUCUGUACUUCUAAAUGGUCGUCCAUGUGGUUUCUUUACUUCCUCACGAGGACUCAGACAGGGUGAUCUUAUCUCCCCAUCCCUAUUCAUCAUAACGGCAGACUACUUCUCAUGCCUGCUCACUCAGAGGUUUCAGGAGUAUCCCAGUAUGUGCUAUCGACACGGAGGUAGUACUCUUGUUUCCCAUCUCUCAUUUGCUGAUGAUAUGAUCAUUUUUGCCAACGGUCAGAAACAGUCUAUUAGGAGGGUCCUGACUGCUUGGAGCACUACGAAGGGGUUUCUGGCCAGUUGGUCAAUAGAGACAAGAGUGGUCUUAUACUAUCCAGACGGACAUCCACUAGUCAGAUCAGACGAUUGGAGAAUUUGACUGGGUUUAGACAUCAGCAGCAGCCUUUUACUUACUUGGGAGUCUCCCUAUUCAAGGGAACUAAGAGGAGCUUCCUUUAUGACGACCUUAUCCAGAAAAUCAAGGGCAGGAUCUUAGGUUGGGC
rnacentral:lncRNA from 1 species